CCUACGGGUGGCAGCAGUGAGGAAUAUUGGUCAAUGGGCGCGAGCCUGAACCAGCCAAGUAGCGUGAAGGAUGACUGCCCUACGGGUUGUAAACUUCUUUUAUAAAGGAAUAAAGUGAGGCACUUGUGCCGUUUUGAGUGUACUUUAUGAAUAAGGAUCGGCUAACUCCGGGCCAGCAGCCGCGGUAAUACGGAGGAUCCGAGCGUUGUCCGGAUUGAUUGGGGUUAAAGGGAGCGUAGAUGGGUUGUAAAGUCAGUUGUGAAAGUUUGCGGCUCAACCGUAAAAUUGCAAUUGAUACUGGCAGCCUUGAGUACAGUUGAGGUAGGCGGAAUUCGUGGUGUAGCGGUGAAAUGCUUAGAUAUUACGAAGAACUCCGAUUGCGAAGGCAGCCUACUAAACUGCCACUGACAUUGAUGCUCGAAAGUGUGGGUAUCAAACAGGAUUAGAUACCCCUGUAGUC
rnacentral:rRNA from 1 species